rnacentral:rRNA from 1 species
AUUGAACGCUGGCGGAAUGCUUUACGCAUGCAAGUCGAACGAUGAACCUUAGCUUGCUAAGGGGAUUUGUGGCGAACGGGUGAGUAAUGUAUCGGAACGUAUCCAAUAAUGGGGGAUAACUAGUCGAAAGAUUAGCUAAUACCGCAUACGUCCUACGGGAGAAAGCUACGGACCUUUGGGCCUGGCGUUAAUGGAGCGGCGGAUAUCUGAUUAGCUAGUUGGUGGGGUAAAGGCUCACCAAGGCGACGAUCAGUAGCUGGUCUGAGAGGACGACCAGCCACACUGGAACUGAGACACGGUCCAGACUCCUACGGGAGGCAGCAGUGGGGAAUUUUGGACAAUGGGCGAAAGCCUGAUCCAGCCAUUCCGCGUGAGUGAAGAAGGCCUUCGGGUUGUAAAGCUCUUUCGCAAGGGAAGAAAACUUAAGCUCUAACAUAGCUUGAGGUUGACGGUACCUUGAUAAGAAGCACCGGCUAACUACGUGCCAGCCGCCGCCGUAA